GACGAACGCUGGCGGCGUGCUUAACACAUGCAAGUCGAACGGAAAGGCCCUGCUUUUGUGGGGUGCUCGAGUGGCGAACGGGUGAGUAACACGUGAGUAACCUGCCCUUGACUUUGGGAUAACUUCAGGAAAAUGGGGCUAAUACCGGAUAGGAGCUCCUGCUGCAUGGUGGGGGUUGGAAAGAUUCGGCGGUUGGGGAUGGUCUCGCGGCUUAUCAGCUUGUUGGUGGGGUAGUGGCUUACCAAGGCUUUGACGGGUAGCCGGCCUGAGAGGGUGACCGGCCACAUUGGGACUGAGAUACGGCCCAGACUCCUACGGGAGGCAGCAGUGGGGAAUAUUGCACAAUGGGCGGAAGCCUGAUGCAGCAACGCCGCGUGCGGGAUGACGGCCUUCGGGUUGUAAACCGCUUUCGCCUGUGACGAAGCGUGAGUGACGGUAAUGGGUAAAGAAGCACCGGCUAACUACGUG
rnacentral:rRNA from 1 species